rnacentral:rRNA from 1 species
UAGUCAUAUGCUUGUCUUAAAGACUAAGCCAUGCAUGUCUAAGUAUAAGUAUUAUACAGCGAAACUGCGAAUGGCUCAUUAAAACAGUUAUAGUUUAUUCGAUUAUUUUCUCCUACAUGGAUAACCGUAGUAAUUCUAGAGCUAAUACAUGCUGUCAAACCUGACUUUUGUGGAUAAGGUUGUAUUUAUUAGAUAUAAAACCAAUACCUCUUGGGGUUUUGUGAUGAUUCAUAAUAACUGAGCGGAUCGUGGUCUCACCACGACGAAUCGUUCAAGUU